rnacentral:lncRNA from 1 species
CGUCACCUCACCCACCUGGACCCCUGGAGGAGGCAUAGCUGGGAGCCUGUGGCUGUACUGACAGUGCAGCAGCAGGGGACGGAGCCCAGCGACAACCACAGUGUGAGUCUGGAGAACCUGGAGAUGGAGAAGGUUCUGGGAGCGGCACUGGGCGUCCGGCGAGUGGGGAGGAACCCCAUCACUCAGGAGGGCUCCUUGUCUUCCCUCACGGAAGAGGAGGCAGGGUCCGACCCGCAGCACUACUCCGUAUUGGAGGAACAGUCCAACCAGCUGCAGGGCUGCAGUGCGUCGGCCCCAACCCUCAGUGUGGUGCGUCGCAGCAACCCUCCCAGCACGGCCCCCCGACCACGCUCCAACUGCUACGAGACUUUACCCUACGGUCAACUUGGAGGAUCCACGCAGAGUGUGGAUAGGGACCUGGGUCUUCUGCUCUGGGGGAGAGAGGGAAGCUGGACGGAGAUCACGAGAGACCGGGCCCAGGAGGAGGUGACAGGCGGCCCUUUUGUGCGCACCUUCAGUUUCCUACGCAAGAUGGCCGGCAACCGCAAGGUAGGAGAGGCCUGCUUUCUGCAGUAGAGUAAAUCAUAUUUUAUUGACAGCGACGGGUAUGAAUGAAGGGCAGACUGAUAGAGGAGAAACGGUGUAGAAGAUUAGGAUUUCAUCCCUCGAAGACAUGGGAUUGCAUGUGCCAAAUGCGGUGGCCUUAACCGACCGACCAACCCACAGCACACGAGAUCUACGACUCAUUAUUUAUCUAAGGUCUCUUCUCAAUAGGGUAAUAUCAUUAUGACAACGACACUGUGUGGUGUUGCUGAUCAUAUUGAAUGGCGAC